rnacentral:lncRNA from 1 species
GUGGGGUGCAGCGUAGGGAAUCCGUAGGUGGACAGUAUGAUUCACAAUCAUAAUACGAUAAUAUCAAAUAGUAUAUUGUUGAAUUUAUGUAGAUAUCUUAUCUUGAAUUUCAUAACUUAUAAUAAUAGCAUCGAAGAAGAUCUUGAUUUCUGACUGACGUUAAAAAUUUAAAUAUACAACUUGCAGAGUAGGAAACCCAGAUUUAAAUUUUUUUUUAAAAUAUACUUGACA